AGCGAACGCUGGCGGCGUGCCUAACACAUGCAAGUCGAACGUGAAAGGGAGCAAUCCCCAGUAAAGUGGCGUACGGGUGAGUAACACGUAGGUAAUCUACCCCAGAAUCUGGAAUAACCGGCCGAAAGGCUGGCUAAUACUGGAUAGAGCGACGGAAUCCGUAAUUGGGUUUUUCGGGAAAGGGAGCCUGUAAAAAGGCCUUCGUUCUGGGAUGAGCCUGCGUCCCAUCAGCUAGUUGGUGAGGUAAAAGCUUACCAAGGCAAUGACGGGUAGCUGGUCUGAGAGGACGAUCAGCCACACUGGAACUGAAACACGGCCCAGACUCCUACGGGAGGCAGCAGUGGGGAAUCUUGCGCAAUGGACGAAAGUCUGACGCAGCAACGCCGCGUGAGGGAAGAAGGCCUUCGGGUUGUAAAGCUCUGUCGAGUGGGACGAAAAUGCUUGGAGUUCACAGCUCCAGGAACUGACGGUACCACUAAAGGAAGCACCGGCUAACUCCGUG
rnacentral:rRNA from 1 species